rnacentral:rRNA from 1 species
GAACGAACGCUGGCGGCGUGCCUAACACAUGCAAGUCGAACGAGCACCUCGGUGCUAGUGGCGGACGGGUGAGUAAUACAUAGAUAAUCUGCCUUUUAGUGGGGGAUAACUAGCCGAAAGGUUAGCUAAUACCGCAUAAGGUCUUCCGGUGGGAUUCGGGAGAAGAAAGGAUUUAUUCGCUAAAAGAGGAGUCUAUGGUUGAUUAGUUAGUUGGUGGGGUAAAGGCCUACCAAGACGAUGAUCAAUAGCUGGUCUGAGAGGACGAUCAGCCACACUGGGACUGAGACACGGCCCAGACUUCUACGGAAGGCAGCAGUGGGGAAUUUUCCGCAAUGGGCGAAAGCCUGACGGAGCGACGCCGCGUGGAGGACGAAAUUUUUCGGAAUGUAAACUCCUUUUGUCAGGGACGAAUCAAUGACGGUACCUGAAGAAUAAGCAUCGGCUAACUACGUGCCAGCAGCCGCGGUAAUACGUAGGAUGCAAGCGUUGUUCGGAAUUACUGGGCGUAAAGCGUAUGUAGGCGGUUAUAUAAGUCUUU